AGGUCAUGUGCCUAUCCCUGGACUAAUCACCAUGGCCACGUAAUUGGUGAAUUCUCACUGGCUAUCCUGGAUCAUGUGACUACCGUUGGAGCAAUCACGGUGGCAAGGUCAUGUGCCUAUCCCUGGACUAAUCUCCAUGGCCACGUAGUUGGUGAAUUUUAAUUGGCUAUCUUGCAUCAUGUGACUACCUUCAACCAAUUAUCAUGAGAGACAGCGUGAGCAGGACAGGGGCAGAGAGAGAGGAUCCUAAACUGGUUCCAUGCUAUCAGCACCGAGCCCAAAGUGGGGAUCCCUCCCAUGAACUGGGAGAUCAUGACCUGAGCCGAAAUCAAGAGUUGGACACUUACCUGACUGAGCCGCCCAGGCGCCUCAAGUCACUUUUAACCAAACAGAUGAAGACACCAUUCAAAGGGCUGGUAAAACAAAAAAGAAAGAAGAAAUCUGGGUCCCUGGAUGACUUUUUAGAGCAGUUUCCCUAUUCCUCAGUCUACCUCCCGGGUCAGA